GACGAACGCUGGCGGCGUGCUUAACACAUGCAAGUCGAACGGAAAGGCCUCUUUCGGGGGGUACUCGAGUGGCGAACGGGUGAGUAACACGUGAGUAACCUGCCCUUGACUUUGGGAUAACUUCAGGAAACUGGGGCUAAUACCGGAUAGGAGCUCCUGCUGCAUGGUGGGGGUUGGAAAGUUUCGGCGGUUGGGGAUGGACUCGCGGCUUAUCAGCUUGUUGGUGGGGUAGUGGCUUACCAAGGCUUUGACGGGUAGCCGGCCUGAGAGGGUGACCGGCCACAUUGGGACUGAGAGACGGCCCAGACUCCUACGGGAGGCAGCAGUGGGGAAUAUUGCACAAUGGGUGGAAGCCUGAUGCAGCAACGCCGUGUGCGGGAUGACGGCCUUCGGGUUGUAAACCGCUUUCGCCCAUGACGAAGCUUUGUGUGACGGUAGUGGGUAAAGAAGCACCGGCUAACUACGUG
rnacentral:rRNA from 1 species